CCUACGGGAGGCAGCAGUGAGGAAUAUUGGUCAAUGGCCGGAAGGCUGAACCAGCCAUGCCGCGUGAAGGUCAGUGCCCUAUGGGCGUUAAACUUCUUUUGUGCGGGAGCAAUAAUGGUCACGUGUGGCCAGACGAGAGUACCGUACGAAUAAGCAUCGGCUAACUCCGUGCCAGCAGCCGCGGUAAUACGGGGGAUGCAAGUGUUAUCCGGGUUUAGUGGGUUUAAAGGGUGCGUAGGCUGUGAGGUAAGUCAGCGGGGGAAUGCCCCCGCUCAACGGGGUGUAGUGCCAUUGAUACUGGCUUGCUGGAAUGCGGAUGCCGUGGGAGGAAUGUGUGGUGUAGCGGUGAAAUGCAUAGAUAUCACACAGAACACCGAUUGCGAAGGCAUCUCACGAAUCCGCGAUUGACGCUGAUGCACGAAAGCGUGGGUAUCAAACAGGAUUAGAUACCCCGGUAGUC
rnacentral:rRNA from 1 species